rnacentral:rRNA from 1 species
GGUUUUUUGAAUAUAAUUUAAAAUCAGGCCUGCCCACUGAAAUUAUUAAAUGGCCGCGGUAUAUUGACCGUGCAAAGGUAGCAUAAUCAUUAGUUUUUUAAUUGAAAGCUGGAAUGAAUGGUUUAAUGAAAAAAUAACUGUCUCAAUUUAAUUUUAUUAAAACUUUAUAUUUAAGUUAAAAAGCUUAAAUUAUUUUAAAAGACGAGAAGACCCUAUAGAGUUUUAUAUUAAUAAAUUUAAGAGAUUAGGUUUUAGGUAUUUUAAUUUUAUUUAAUAUUUAAUUGGGGUGAUUAAAAAAUUUAUUUAACUUUUUUUUAUUUAUUACAUUUAUUAGUGAGUAUUUGAUCCAAAUUUUUUGAUUAUAAGAUUAAAUUACCUUAGGGAUAACAGCGUAAUUUUUUUUAAGAGUUCUUAUCGAAAAAAAAGAUUGCGACCUCGAUGUUGGAUUAAAAUUAAUUUUAGGUGUAGAAGCUUAAAAAUUAGGUCUGUUCGACCUUUAAAAUUUUACA